CCUACGGGGUGCUGCAGUGGGGAAUAUUGGACAAUGGGCGAAAGCCUGAUCCAGCCAUGCCGCGUGUGUGAAGAAGGCCUUCGGGUUGUAAAGCACUUUCAGUGGGGAAGAAAGCCUUGGGGCUAAUACCCUCGAGGAAGGACAUCACCCACAGAAGAAGCACCGGCUAACUCCGUGCCAGCAGCCGCGGUAAUACGGAGGGUGCGAGCGUUAAUCGGAAUUACUGGGCGUAAAGCGCGCGUAGGCGGUCUGAUAAGCCGGUUGUGAAAGCCCCGGGCUCAACCUGGGAACGGCAUCCGGAACUGUCAGGCUAGAGUGCAGGAGAGGAAGGUAGAAUUCCCGGUGUAGCGGUGGAAUGCGUAGAGAUCGGGAGGAAUACCAGUGGCGAAGGCGGCCUUCUGGACUGACACUGACGCUGAGGUGCGAAAGCGUGGGUAGCAAACAGGAUUAGAUACCCGAGUAGUC
rnacentral:rRNA from 1 species